UAGGUCAACGGGAAGUACCCUAUAGGUUUUCUUGACAGACACGACAGACAGACAACAAAGUGAUCCUAUAAGGGUUCCGUUUUUCCUUUUGAGAUACGGAACCCUAAAAAAACAAAAAUUUCAAAAGUUAGCAUAUCAAGUGUCGCAGAAUCAUAUAAAAAUUUCAGCACAACUUUAAAUACUAUUCAGUAAUUUUGUAUUAAGCAUAAAAAUGACAAUUUACUUCAAUAUACAAUUAAUAAUUAUGUUAAUAAUUAUGAAAUAAAAACAGGUAAUCGUAAAACAAAUGAAAUGACUUGUAUUCCAUAGCUCAGUCCCAUUAGAGGGCAAAUGUCAGUGUGCACAUCUCCUGUACUUAAAUUAUCAUCACGAGGACGAGGCACCCACGAGGCACUCGCGACGCCGGCCCGAGGCGCUCCACUCUCCGAGCGCCGCGUCGCUUCAGCCACUUGCGUGACACAAUCUAUACAAGAAUCUAGAAUUAACGUAACUUACAAUAAUCGCAUAAUAUAUCAUA